AAUCUUGCGCAAUGGGGGAAACCCUGACGCAGCGCCGCCGCGUGAGUGAUGAGGGUCUUCGGAUCGUAAAGAUCUUUCGUCCGGGAAGAACGUCCUCGUGGUUAAUACCCACGGGGAGUGACGGUACGGGAAGAAGAAGCAGCGGCCAACUCUGUGCCAGCAGCCGUGGUAAUACUGAGGGUGCAAGCGUUGUUCGGAAUUAGUGGGAGUAAAGCGCGCGCAGGCGGGAUGGCAAGUCGGAUGUGAAAGCACUCGGCUCAACCGAGGAAGUGCAUUCGAAACUGCUGUUCUUGAGUGUCGGAGAGGGUGGUGGAAUUCCCGGUGUAGAGGUGAAAUUCGUAGAUAUCGGGAGGAACACCAGUGGCGAAGGCGACCACCUGGACGAACACUGACGCUGAGGCGCGAAAGCGUGGGGAGCAAACA
rnacentral:rRNA from 1 species